rnacentral:lncRNA from 1 species
CCUUGCCCCUGGUAAAAUGAAAGUCCAGCAACAGUCAAUUUUCAUUUUCUAAGGAUGCAGAGGCUAUGUAGGGGCACUUUUCCUACCUUGCUGGCGCCAUCCCCCAUACCUGGAAUUGGUCCUAUACAUUGAUAUGUCACUAACCAACCAAACCUUCCUGCACUGACAUGAAAGAGAAAACAUUGUCUAAGGCUUGUCAGUUCCUUCCCCUUUUUGUACCUCUCUUCCCCUCUUUCCCUAUAUUUGUUCCUUCCAAAAACCUUUACUGGUCUCUUCCUAUGAGUGAAGCCCUAUGCUAGCAGCUAGAAUUAUAAAGAUGCCAUCCCCACCCUCUUUAAAUGCACAUUCUAGCGCUUUCUGCCUUGAACAAAUAAGACCAAUCAAGUACCACAUGUUCAUAGACUUGUUCAGGAUUUUUGGAUUUCUGCCUUUGUUUAAUAUGGAGAAUAUGAGUUCAUUUGUUCUUCAUCUCCUACCAGCAACUUAAUUAAAGAAAUUUAGCUUCAAGGGAAAAAAUUGUCUUAAAGAACUAUAAAAUAACCAGCCUAACCUGAGGUCUCCAACAGAGUUCUUCAUCCACAUUAUAUUUGUUUAUUAAUUUUAAAAUUUCUAAAAAUUUAAAAUGUUUAUAGACUCACAGGAAGUUGUGAACCUAAUUAAUGAGUUCCUUAUGUCCAACAUCCCCAAAGUGGAUGACUGCAGUACAAUAUCCAAACCAGGAAACUGAUAUUGAUAUUGAUAUUGAUAUUGAUAGUAGACUACAGACCGUAUUCAGUUUUCAGCAGUAUUUACAUGCUCUAAUUUUGGGUGGGUGUAUAGUUCUAUGCAAUUUGACCCCAUGUAUAGAUUAUACAACCACCACAAUAAUCAGGAUACUGAACUAUUUCAUUACCACAAAGGAACUCCUUUGUGCUACCUCUUUAUAGUCAUACCUACCUAACAUGUCCGUGUCCCCUGAUGACCAUUAAUCUGCUCUCCAUCUCCAUAAUUUUGUCAUUUGAGGAUAUUAUAUAAAUGGAAUCAAAGACAAUGCAAUCUUUUGAGAUCAUCUUUUAUCACUACCUACAAUACCCUUAGGAUCCUUCCAAGUUGCAUGUAUCAAUAGCUCACUCCUAUAGACUACUGAGUAAUACAAUAUUAUAGGAAUGGACCAGUCUCUGUAGCCAUUCACCC